UCUCUCUCUCUCUCUCUCUUUCUCUUUCUCUUCUUUUCUAUUGUUUUUCCCCUUUUCUCCUAAAUCUAUGUCCCUCUUUUUCCUGUGUUGAACACCGAUUUGAAGAAAUUCCCAUUCGAUUCGCAACUGAUGAACACUUACUUGAAGAAAUCCAUAUCGAUUUGCAGGUUUGUUCUCGCACGUGGCACUUUCGGCACCGUUACCUCCUCUCAAAUUUCACUUUCGGUUGAACAGGGCGGUGACAACAUAGGGUGUUAAGAUCUAGGGUUCCGACAAAAACAGAGAUGGUUACGACUUCGGGUGGUGAAUGUGUUAAGAUCAUACAACUAUCAGAUGAGAGGAUGAUCGAACCUUCCAACCAUGUUCCGUUGAAGAUUCUGGAAACUCCAGUAAGAAAAAAUAACCAGAGACAAGAAAAAGUGUGUGUGUGAGAGAGAGAGAGAGACGGGUAGGAGAGUCUCUGGAGAAGGUAGAGGUGGCAAAGGGAACUAGGGUUCUUGCGACGAAUGUCUAUGUAGGUACUCAUUGAGAGUUUGAGACCAUGAAUCCAUCUAUUGCUUGACAAAUCAGGGAUAAUCUUGACAGGUUUAAAGCUGGAGCUUCAUAUAUGGAUGAAUGGGUCAAACGGUUCAAACGGUUGACCCACCCAAAACUUCAAUGUUCGUUCUUAACAACGAAGAGAUCACCUGCAGCUACAUACGCGAGUUGUGAGGGGACGGGAUGACGGUGGUCAGGCAUCACUCCGGAGCACAAAUUCCGAACGCAGUUGUCUAUUGUCAUGUUAAAGAGGCCAAGCAAAAUCUAUGAAGUUAAUUUGGCACACAAAGCUGAAGGAGGGAGGCUUUCUUGAAGUUCGUUGAAGAUUGUUCAGUUGUCAUCCCCAACCCAAGUAGGAAAGAUGCUAUUAGCGAGUCACCGUUAAAAAUAGCUCUUUUUGCAUUGUAUAAAUUGUGCACACACGCACCUUGUCGACAGUUUCUGCGCGCAUCUGAUCGUUGCCCAGUACUUGGAAAACACUUUGAAUCAGGAGAUGAUACCAUUUCUGAAUAUGCUUCUGUCAUUCUUAAAAAAACUGCUCAACCGUGAUGACAACCUUUAUUUGGCAUAGGGAGCAUGACAUACUCCAGUUAAGCCGCCGCAACCUUUGUUUGGCAUAAGGAGCAUGACAUACUCCAUGUGAACUACUCAUUGAUGUUAAAAUUUUCUUCUGUUUAAGUAUUAGCCUUAGUUUAUUGAAUCAAAUUUCAAAUCUGUUGAAUGGGAUCAAGAAUCUGUAGAUUGAGGGGGAGGGUGUAAAUAAAAUAUUAUUCCAUAUUUUUAUAAUGAUGUAGUUUAGACAUA